GAUGAACGCUGGCGGCGUGCCUAAUACAUGCAAGUCGAGCGAACAGACGAGGAGCUUACUCCUCUGACGUUAGCGGCGGACGGGUGAGUAACACGUGGAUAACCUACCUAUAAGACUGGGAUAACUUCGGGAAACCGGAGCUAAUACCGGAUAACAUGUUGAACCGCAUGGUUCAACAGUGAAAGACGGUCUUGCUGUCACUUAUAGCUGGAUCCGCGUCGCAUUAGCUAGUUGGUAAGGUAACGGGUUACCAAGGCAACGAUGCGUAGACGACCUGAGAGGGUGAUCGGCCACACUGGAACUGAGACACGGUCCAGACUCCUACGGGAGGCAGCAGUAGGGAAUCUUCCGCAAUGGGCGAAAGCCUGACGGAGCAACGCCGCGUGAGUGAAGAAGGUCUUCGGAUCGUAAAACUCUGUUAUUAGGGAAGAACAAAUGUGUAAGUAACUAUGCACGUCUUGACGGUACCUAAUCAGAAAGCCACGGCUAACUACGUG
rnacentral:rRNA from 1 species